AUUUGACCUCAAAUCAGGUAGGACUACCCGCUGAACUUAAGCAUAUCAAUAAGCGGAGGAAAAGAAACUAACAAGGAUUCCCCUAGUAACUGCGAGUGAAGCGGGAAAAGCUCAAAUUUAAAAUCUGGCGGUCUUGCGGCC
rnacentral:rRNA from 1 species